rnacentral:rRNA from 1 species
UCAAGAUAAGAUUUCCCACCGCAAGGGUAAGACCCCAGAAAGACUAUCUGGUUGAUAGGUCGAAGGUGUAAGUUCAGCAAUGUAUUUAGCUUAUCGAUACUAAUAGGUCGAGGACUUGACCAAUAUUUAUU